CUCAUUUUAUAAGCUUUCUUUUACCCUCUACUUUUCUGCUUCAGAGGAACAAUCCGUUAGCUAUAAUAUUUGUGUGGUUAUUUAUUUUAUGUCCAUCUCUCUAACAGACAAUAAACUUCUUGCAGGUGAAAUAGUGGUUGCCCUUUCACCACGAAACCCCCGAUGCCCAGGACAGUGCCUCACCCAGGUUAAUUCCAUGUAAAUAUUAACAUUGGAGUAAUCUAAAGUUCUAGAUCCUCUUGAGAGGCACGAAUAUGUUGGGUAGGAAAAGCUUGGGUCCAGCACCUCAUACUUUUCCACAGGCCUUUUGAAAAAAAUUUGGGUGAGUUUCUCCAAAAAACCUCUACUCUUCCCCAUCAGCAUUUACAAGCCUUCCCCCCGGGGGGAGGAGGGGGGAAAGAAGAGAAAAGAGAAGAAAAGAAAAAAGAAAGAAGGGCAAAGAAAACAAAUUGGAAUCUCCAGAAUGAGUUCUGACUUUGGAUUUCUAUCCCAGACUGUCUGUGGCCACCUUCUCUCCUGUGGGGAGUAGGAAGGAGUCAGUUUUAAGAACUCUUCCCCCUGGCCUUGGUUCGGAACUGUCUAUCCCCAGCAUUCCAGGGUUCGUCUUAAAUCAUUGACUGUCUUUGCAGGGUUUUUUGAAAGGAUUUUCAUAAAAAAGAAAAAAAAAACCCCAAGAACAAGAAAAGUGAAUUUGCUAUCAAGAUUUCUAGUGCUCAGAUGACGCAUGAAGGUAAAGCUUCCCUGUGCCCAUUUUUAGUGGCCCCAUGCCCAGCCCUGUCUGAAGUUUUUGCUCUAUUCCUAUAAGGCAGUUACAGGGUUUCAUGUGUAUAUAGACAACAAGUAAUAAAAGCUAUAACAACCUGGAUCUGCUUUGUUUCAGACUUGCUGGUUUAAAAAAAUCUACCGAGGGCACUUGUAUUUUUCUUAUUUCUACUUCCUUGGGUGUAGCCAGGCAGCCCAUGACACCUCCCCACAACUGGACCUUGAAUCCUGACGGGAACACAGUGAAAAUGACUGCCAGCCAGCACCACAGCUGUGAGACUAUCUACUUUGGGCUUUCAUCACACCAAAAAAGACCCUGGAAGUGAGGGCUCGGUGCCAGCCAAAUCAUCACAUGCCUUGGGGAUUGACUGGGUGCUGACCUUUGAGCCCCUGUCCUGGCCUUUCAGACUGUAGUUCAAGGUCACGUCACCUAGGUGUGCACUGUAGUGCCACGACUUUCUGUGUCACUGCGGCAAGUAGCUUAACUUCUCUCUGCUGCAGUGUCCCUGUGUGUCAAACGGGGAUGCAGUCAUGACUCCCUCGUGGGUUUUCUUGUAAGAAUGAAAUGGCGUGAUUGAUGUCAGGCACAUAGUAGGCACUGGGUACGUAUUAGCCAUCAACUGUAUGUCAUUACCAUUUGUACUUAACAAUUUCAUCCUAUAAACAGACUGCCCGGUUGCUUAAAAAAAAGCAGACUCAACCACCAAGCCCUCUGUGUUCUAAGGAAGAGAUAUAAAGCAUUCUUCCCUAUCAUGAGACCGUGGCUGCUAAUAAAUCCUAAUAAGAAGCCAAAAGCCGGGGCGGGGCACCUGGACGGCCCUGCCGGUCAAGCAUCUGACUCUCAGUUUCAGCUCAGGUCAUGAUCUCGCUCUUUCGUGAGUUCGAGCCCUGCCUUGGGCUCUGCGCUGACCGUGCGGAGCCUGCUUGGGAUUCUGUCUCUCUCUCCCGCUCUCUCUGCCCCUCCCCCACUCACGCUGUCUCUGUCUCAAAAUAAAUAAAUAAAAACUUAAAAAAAAAAAAAGAGGCAAAAAGCCUUCUGUGUGGCUGGCAAUCCCCCUAUUUCCUGUGACGUCAUCUUACCGAGAAAAAGCAGAAGCAAGAGAAAGAAUACAUUUGACGUUUGCUCACCUAACAUUAAAAGCUCACUGUUGGUGGAAACAACCCGAAAAUUCUGACAUGAAUUGUUUUUGUUGUAUUCGUAAAUAGAGUGGAAAUGUUUUGUGUUUGAAUUCUUCAA